rnacentral:rRNA from 1 species
ACGGGGAGCAGCAGGCGCGAAACCUUUACACUGCACGACAGUGCGAUAGGGGGACUCCGAGUGCGAGGGCAUACAGUCUUCGCUUUUCUGUACCGUAAGGUGGUACAGGAACAAGUGCUGGGCAAGACCGGUGCCAGCCGCCGCGGUAAUACCGGCAGCACGAGUGAUGGCCGCUCUUAUUGGGCCUAAAGCGUCCGUAGCCGGCCAGUCAAGUCCGUCGGGAAAUCUACCCGCUUAACGGGUAGGCGUCUGGCGGAAACUGACUGGCUUGGGGCCGGGAGACCCGAGGGGUACGUCCGGGGUAGGAGUGAAAUCCUGUAAUCCUGGACGGACCACCGGUGGCGAAAGCGCCUCGGGAAAACGGACCCGACGGUGAGGGACGAAAGCUAGGGUCUCGAACCGGAUUAGAUACCCGGGUAGUCCUGGCCGUAAACGAUGUCCGCUAGGUGUGACGCAGGCUACGAGCCUGCGCUGUGCCGUAGGGAAGCCGUGAAGCGGACCGCCUGGGAAGUACGUCCGCAAGGAUGAAACUUAAAGGAAUUGGCGGGGGAGCAC